GACGAACGCUGGCGGCGUGCUUAACACAUGCAAGUCGAACGGAAAGGCCCUGCUUUUGUGGGGCGCUCGAGUGGCGAACGGGUGAGUAACACGUGAGUAACCUGCCCUUGACUUUGGGAUAACUUCAGGAAACUGGGGCUAAUACCGGAUAGGAGCUCCUGCUGCAUGGUGGGGGUUGGAAAGUUUCGGCGGUUGGGGAUGGACUCGCGGCUUAUCAGCUUGUUGGGGGGGUAGUGGCUUACCAAGGGUUUGACGGGUAGCCGGCCUGAGAGGGUGACCGGCCACAAUGGGACUGAGAUACGGACCAGACUCCUACGGGAGGCAGCAGUGGGGAAUAUUGCACAAUGGGCGGAAGCCUGAUGCAGCAACGCCGCGUGCGGGAUGACGGCCUUCGGGUUGUAAACCGCUUUCGACUGUGACGAAGCGUGAGUGACGGUAAUGGGUAAAGAAGCACCGGCUAACUACGUG
rnacentral:rRNA from 1 species